GAUGAACGCUGGCGGCGUGCCUAAUACAUGCAAGUCGAGCGAACAGACUAGGAGCUUGCUCCUCUUACGUUAGCGGCGGACGGGUGAGUAACACGUGGAUAACCUACCUAUAAGACUGGGACAACUUCGGGAAACCGGAGCUAAUACCGGAUAACAUCUUUAAACGUAUGGUUUAAUAGUGAAAGACGCAUUUGCUUCCACUUAUGGUUAGAUCCGCGCGGAAUUAGCUGUUUGGUAAGGUAACGGUCUACCAAGGCAACGAUGCGUAGCCGACCUGAGGGGGUGAUCGCCCAAACGGGACCUGGGAAACGGCCCAGACUCCUACGGGAGGCAGCAGUAGGGAAUCUUCCGCAAUGGGCGAAAGCCUGACGGAGCAACGCCGCGUGAGUGAUGAAGGUCUUCGGAUCGUAAAACUUUGUUAUUAGGGAAGAACAAAUGUGUAAGUAACUAUGCACGUCUUGACGGUACCUAAUCAGAAAGCCACGGCUAACUACGUG
rnacentral:rRNA from 1 species